rnacentral:rRNA from 1 species
UUCUUGACCUCAAAUCAGGUAGGACUACCCGCUGAACUUAAGCAUAUCAAUAAGCGGAGGAAAAGAAACUAACAGGAUUCCCCUAGUAACUGCGAGUGAAGCGGGAAAAGCUCAAAUUUAAAAUCUGGCGGUCUCUGGCCGUCCGAGUUGUAAUCUAGAGAAGUGAUGCCCGCGCUGGACCGUGUACAAGUCUCCUGGAAUGGAGCGUCAUAGAGGGUGAGAAUCCCGUCUUUGACACGGACUACCAGGGCUUUGUGGUACGCUCUCAAAGAGCCGAGUUGUUUGGGAAUGCAGCUCUAAAUGGGUGGUAAAUUCCAUCUAAAGCUAAAUAUUGGCGAGAGACCGAUAGCGAACAAGUACCGUGAGGGAAAGAUGAAAAGAACUUUGGAAAGAGAGUUAAACAGUACGUGAAAUUGCUGAAAGGGAAACGCUUGAAGUCAGUCACGUUGGCCGGGAAUCAGCCUCGCUUUUGCGUGGUGUACUUUCUGGUUGACGGGUCAGCAUCAAUUUUGACCGCUGGAAAAAGGCUUAGGGAAUGUGGCGGCUUCGGCUGUGUUAUAGCCCUUUGUCACAUACAACGGUUGGGAUUGAGGAACUCAGCACGCCGCAAGGCCGGGUUUCGACCACGUUCGUGCUUAGGAUGCUGGCAUAAUGGCUUUAAGCGACCCGUCUUGAAACACGGACCAAGGAGUCUAACAUGCCUGCGAGUGUUUGGGUGGAAAACCCGAGCGCGUAAUGAAAGUGAAAGUUGAGAUCCCUGUCGUGGGGAGCAUCGACGCCCGGACCUGAACUUUUGUGACGGAUCCGCGGUAGAGCAUGUAUGUUGGGACCCGAAAGAUGGUGAACUAUGCCUGAAUAGGGCGAAGCCAGAG